UUUUCGAAAGAAUAUCGUGUGCAGCAUAUACAUGUCAUCACAUACUCUUUGAACAUUGGUUACUUGCUUUAUCACGAUUGCUAACAGCCCUUCGUAUGCUCACCAUCCUCGUUUGUUUCUUGGAGGCGUUCUCGCCUCGAGUAGAUGAGGUCGUGGAUUCAAAUGCUGUUCCGGUCUAACCAAAGACUAUAGAUUUGGUAUAUGCCAUUCGCUACCAUUCACUCGACCUUCUAUCAGUAAAAAAAAGGUUGCUUUAAGUCUGAUGAUUGUGUCCAGAUAGUGUGACAUGUCUACCUGUGGAAUUGUUAACCUGUGAGCAGUUUCAGCGUGUCAGCAUAGUGCAAAAAGGGACAAGUCAAAUCAUUUUUACAUGUACUUUUUUUUAAAAGAAGCAGAAGAUACAAACAAAGAGAGAAUCAAAACUAUACUAGAGGAGGAUGCCGGAUCAUCCGUACAGGACCACCGUCCGUAGGAAGGAAAACUGGGGAUCAACAAAGAUCGAGCGGGGUUAAAACACGCAAUCGCUUAUUUGACAGGUUAGUAAUCACUAUAGAUGAACUAUCUAGUCCCCGGAAGAGAGUUGUGAAUUAUGCACGCUGGUGAAGGCCUUACUGUGACUUUUAAGAUGGGGAACAGCAAUAGAAACGUAAUGAAUUGAUAUACUUUAUUUAGAUUUAAAUAUUAUUUGUUACAUCCAAUGGUAUAAAAAUUAAUUAAUCCAUUAGUUUGUAAUUAUUUUACAUUAAGUCCUAUGCUAUUUCUUGUAAUACCCCUUAAAUUCUGAAAAUCAUUAUAUCAUUUCAGUCCCCGAAUCAAAUGUAUGCAAGCAAGGGAGA